rnacentral:rRNA from 1 species
CCUACGGGAGGCAGCAGUGGGGAAUUUUGGACAAUGGGCGCAAGCCUGAUCCAGCAAUGCCGCGUGCAGGAUGAAGGCCUUCGGGUUGUAAACUGCUUUUGUACGGAACGAAACGGUGAGCUCUAAUACAGUUUGCUAAUGACGGUACCGUAAGAAUAAGCACCGGCUAACUACGUGCCAGCAGCCGCGGUAAUACGUAGGGUGCGAGCGUUAAUCGGAAUUACUGGGCGUAAAGCGUGCGCAGGCGGUGAUGUAAGACAGAUGUGAAAUCCCCGGGCUCAACCUGGGACCUGCAUUUGUGACCGCAUCGCUAGAGUACGGUAGAGGGGGAUGGAAUUCCGCGUGUAGCAGUGAAAUGCGUAGAUAUGCGGAGGAACACCGAUGGCGAAGGCAAUCCCCUGGACCUGUACUGACGCUCAUGCACGAAAGCGUGGGGAGCAAACAGGAUUAGAUACCCUGGUAGUCCACGCCCUAAACGAUGUCAACUGGUUGUUGGGUCUUCACUGACUCAGUAACGAAGCUAACGCGUGAAGUUGGCCGCCUGGGGAGUACGGCCGCAAGGUUGAAACGUCAAAGAGUAGUACGGCGUCGAGAGAGCGACGGACGGACGACGACGGGAGGGAGGAGG